ACAUUUUAGCUUGCUUGUUGCUGGGGAAAAGACUUGCUGCUUUGUGUUUCAUUUGAUGAAGAGCUUCUUUUCAUUUAGUCAGUCACUUAUUUCCAGAGAUUUCCUGGUGAUGUUGCCUCACAUUUAUUUGUGGAAAUGCCAGUAUGUUUUAAGCUUGCAGCUUCCAUAAGUCAGGAUUCCAGUCACAGCUUAGCUGGAUCCUCUCAGAAGGCUACGAUCAAGGUGUCAGCCAGACUGAGUUCUCAUCAGAGGCUCGACUAGGAGAGGAUCUGCUUCCAAGUUCCCUCAGGUUGUUGGAAGGAUUCAUUUUCUUGUGGCUAAGCUCACAGGAGCUUUCUUCUUCAAGGGCAUCAGGAGAGUGGAGAGCGAGUCUACUCAAAGACUUCUAUACAAAUCAUAAGGUAAUCACAUGAGGGACAUACCAUCAUCUUUGCCAUAUUCUGUUGGUUACAAACAAGUCACCAGUUCCACCUGCACUCAAGGGGAGGAGAUUAUACAGGGUGAACAUGGGGGCCAUCCUAGAAUUCUGCCCACUUUACAGUUGAAACAGUAUUUUUUAAAAUGCCAAUGAAAUCCAAGAUAGACAGUUUAUCUUGGAUAAACUUUUAGCACCUUUUGAUUAACAUACCUGUUGGACUUUACAACUGUAAGAUUAGUAAGCACAAGAUUCCCCAGUAUUUCAAGGAUUUAAAGGGAACAUGGUAAAAAGGUACUCUUUGCUAUGCAAAAUCUAGCCAUCUAGCAUUGCUGUGGCCCUGGCCAGUUUGCAGCUCUGGCCAAAAGAGGGCUGCUGAGUCCAGCCCUGUCCACAGUGUAUACGGGCACACCUGACUACAUCAUGCACAGCAAUCCUGUUUGUGGCACCACUGAUGAAUUACCCCUAUUCAAGUGAACAGGCAUUGAGACCCUAAGGGGACCACAGGGUCUGGUUCAUUCACCACAAACACAGUCUUCCUUGAAUGUUAGCAAUGAGUUUAGUCAUCUCAUUAGGAGACUUGAACAGAAGUGAAGGUAAACACUAUUCAUGUCAGAAAAAAAUAUAACGUGGUAGGUAGUAAGAUAUGUAAACAAAGGACUACAGUUCUCUGCCUUUUGAAAGCAUACCUGUGCUACUUGUCUGAAGUAAAAAAAAAAAACAACUGUGCAUUAUUCUGUAUGAAGCAUCUUUUGCAUGUGUUCAUGUGUAUAAACAGGAUUAUGGGUUAUGAUGUAGGAAUUGAGGAUAAACUACAUUUUAUAUUUUUUCAUAUUGUGGAAAGAAGAAAUAAACUAUACUCCUGUGUUAGCUGGAUUCUCUGAGAAGCAGAUGCUGAAAUUGAAUUAGAAGGGCAAAAGGUAUAUUGGGAAGUAACACCUGAGAGGAUGCAGGAUUUGGCAAAGAAUGUUGUGUCUGCACAACUCUACGUGACCCACAAAAGUCAUACAUCUGGCCUUUAAUUUUUUAAAAGAAUCAAGAAGCUCUAUGGUUUUAUAGUAUCUGGCUCUUGUUUAUAAUGAUUAGAACUAUCUCACAGAACCUCAGGGACUUAGGCAAAUUCUCAGAGGUUGUCUAUGCCAACCCUUCAUUGUUAGACAGGGAUGCAUCAAAUCACCCUGAGUGUGGGGAACAUUUCCACCUUUGCGAUGGCCCAGGUAACUGGUUUUACAAAAUCCUUUGUUCAGCUGUUUCACUAAGAGGUUGUAGACAUUGGAGUCUUCCUAACUAAAUCACGUCUACUCCAGAUUAAGAGUAGGAUAGUAUUCUCUGGUGGCUACUUUCUUUUUGCCAGUCCCUCACAUGUUGGGGUUCACUAAUAUCUUCUUCUCUUCUUUCUUAUGAGUCUUCCCAAGAACUCAUUCAGCCCAUAAUGUCAAUAGUGCCAAGGUUGAGAAAUCCUGCUGUAUAGAGACAACUCCCAUUUCACAUCCUCUGCCCAGGUUUCACUCCCAGGCUCCACAUGCCAAGAUGAGGAAUAUUUAAUCUAUAUUCUAAAUAGAGUAAAAAGCAAGGUCAUCAGAUGAAAAGGUGUUGGGAGCAAGACUGGCUUAUUCCAUUAAGCAUAGUAGUCUAAGUGCCUGCUUGGGACCCACAAUAUUUUCAAGGGCCCAUGAAAAAUGUUUUAAUUUUAAUUUCUUUUGAAAUCAGGAGGAAAAAAUGAAUAUUGUAACAAUGAAUACAUAAUAAUAAAUCACACUUGGAUUGUGUUUGUCUUUAUAA
rnacentral:lncRNA from 1 species